rnacentral:rRNA from 1 species
GACGAACGCUGGCGGCGUGCUUAACACAUGCAAGUCGAACGGAAAGGCCCUGCUUUUGUGGGGUGCUAGAGUGGCGAACGGGUGAGUAACACGUGAGUAACCUGCCCUUGACUUUGGGAUAACUUCAGGAAACUGGGGCUAAUACCGGAUAGGAGCUCCUGCUGCAUGGUGGGGGUUGGAAAGUUUCGGCGGUUGGGGAUGGACUCGCGGCUUAUCAGCUUGUUGGUGGGGUAGUGGCUUACCAAGGCGUUGACGGGUAGCCGGCCUGAGAGGGUGACCGGCCACAUUGGGACUGAGAUGCGGCCCAGACUCCUACGGGAGGCAGCAGUGGGGAAUAUUGAACAAUGGGCGGAAGCCGGAUGCAGCAACGCCGCGUGCGGGAUGACGGCCUUCGGGUUGUAAACCGCUUGCGCCUGUGACGAAGCGUGAGUGACGGUAAUGGGUAAAGAAGCACCGGCUAACUACGUG